GGCCGCGGGAAUUCGAUUCAGGCCUAACACAUGCAAGUCGAGCGGUAGAGAGAAGCUUGCUUCUCUUGAGAGCGGCGGACGGGUGAGUAAUGCCUAGGAAUCUGCCUGGUAGUGGGGGAUAACGUUCGGAAACGGACGCUAAUACCGCAUACGUCCUACGGGAGAAAGCAGGGGACCUUCGGGCCUUGCGCUAUCAGAUGAGCCUAGGUCGGAUUAGCUAGUUGGUGAGGUAAUGGCUCACCAAGGCGACGAUCCGUAACUGGUCUGAGAGGAUGAUCAGUCACACUGGAACUGAGACACGGUCCAGACUCCUACGGGAGGCAGCAGUGGGGAAUAUUGGACAAUGGGCGAAAGCCUGAUCCAGCACAUGCCGCGUGUGUGAAGAAGGUCUUCGGAUUGUAAAGCAAAGUAAGUUGGGAGGAAGGGCAGUUACCUAAUACGUGAUUGUUUUGACGUACCGACAGA
rnacentral:rRNA from 1 species